rnacentral:rRNA from 1 species
AGUGAACGCUGGCGGUAGGCCUAACACAUGCAAGUCGAACGGCAGCACAGUAAGAGCUUGCUCUUACGGGUGGCGAGUGGCGGACGGGUGAGGAUUACAUCGGAAUCUACUUUUUCGUGGGGGAUAACGUAGGGAAACUUACGCUAAUACCGCAUACGACCUACGGGUGAAAGCAGGGGAUAUUCGGACCUUGCGCGAUUGAAUGAGCCGAUGUCGGAUUAGCUAGUUGGCGGGGUAAAGGCCCACCAAGGCGACGAUCCGUAGCUGGUCUGAGAGGAUGAUCAGCCACACUGGAACUGAGACACGGUCCAGACUCCUACGGGAGGCAGCAGUGGGGAAUAUUGGACAAUGGGCGCAAGCCUGAUCCAGCCAUACCGCGUGGGUGAAGAAGGCCUUCGGGUUGUAAAGCCCUUUUGUUGGGAAAGAAAAGCAGCAGGUUAAUACCCCGCUGUUCUGACGGUACCCAAAGAAUAAGCACCGGCUAACUUCGUG